AGAUGAAAAUGCGCGAAUCUUUCACGAAAACAUCGCAGAGCGGUUCUCAUGGAUAAAGGGGGAACACAGAUUUUUCUGUACAAGAAUAAAACCAGGCAGGGGAGCGCUUCCGCCCAUUCCGCUAGUUCCGCCUAGGUUGAGAUUGUUUCAAUUUUUGUAGAACAAGCUAUAAAGUUUCUAUUAUUCAGGUAGCUAUUAGUAAAGUUCAAAUUCUCAACAAAACUUUUAAUUAAAUCUCAGAAAUAUUUAAUAAGGGGAUUGCUUAAACAAAUAAAACUGACAUAGUUCUUCACUAUCUAUGUAAAGAGAUGAACAAUUAUAUUUUCUAACAGCUUAGAAAUUAAAUAA